rnacentral:rRNA from 1 species
GACGAACGCUGGCGGCGUGCUUAACACAUGCAAGUCGAACGGAAAGGCCCCUUUGGGGGUACUCGAGUGGCGAACGGGUGAGUAACACGUGAGUAACCUGCCCUUGACUUCGGGAUAACUUCAGGAAACUGGGGCUAAUACUGGCUAGGAAUCCUUGCUGCAUGGUGGGGGUUGGAAAGCUUCGGCGGUUUUGGAUGGACUCGCGGCUUAUCAGCUUGUUGGUGGGGGAGUGGCUUACCAAGGCUUUGACGGGUAGCCGGCCUGAGAGGGCGACCGGCCACAUUGGGACUGAGAUACGGCCCAGACUCCUACGGGAGGCAGCAGUGGGGAAGAUUGCACAAUGGGCGGAAGCCUGAUGCAGCAACGCCGCGGGCGGGAUGACGGCCUUCGGGUUGUAGACCGCUUUCAGCAGGGGCGAAGCUUGUGGUGACGGUACCUGCAGAAGAAGCACCGGCUAACUACGUG